GAGUGAACGCUGGCGGUAGGCCUAACACAUGCAAGUCGAACGGCAGCACAGUAAGAGCUUGCUCUUACGGGUGGCGAGUGGCGGACGGGUGCGGAAUACAUCGGAAUCUACUUUUUCGGGGGGGAUAACGUAGGGAAACUUACGCUAAUACCGCAUACGACCUACGGGUGAAAGCAGGGGAUCUUCGGACCUUGCGCGAUUGAAUGAGCCGAUGUCGGAUUAGCUAGUUGGCGGGGUAAAGGCCCACCAAGGCGACGAUCCGUAGCUGGUCUGAGAGGAUGAUCAGCCACACUGGAACUGAGACACGGUCCAGACUCCUACGGGAGGCAGCAGUGGGGAAUAUUGGACAAUGGGCGCAAGCCUGAUCCAGCCAUACCGCGUGGGUGAAGAAGGCCUUCGGGUUGUAAAGCCCUUUUGUUGGGAAAGAAAAGCAGCAGGUUAAUACCCCGCUGUUCUGACGGUACCCAAAGAAUAAGCACCGGCUAACUUCGUG
rnacentral:rRNA from 1 species